GGGGCCAUGGGCUAGCAUGGUAGGCUACGUGGCUUGGGCCCACGGGACUGGAGUUCAAAUCUCCGUGGCCCCA
rnacentral:tRNA from 2 species